rnacentral:tRNA from 1 species
GGCUCGAUGGUCUAGUGGUAAGAUGCCCGUCUCUCAGACAGGAGACUCCAGUUCGAAUCUGGGUCUGGCCA